CCUGGCAAAAGAUUGGCUGAUAAAGCUGACCUCUAUAAUCCCAUCACUGAGGGGUGUCUUAUCUUGAAGCCUGCUGGAAAGAAGGAAGGAAGGAAAGGAAACUGUCUCCCCCUCUAAACUAGGCUAGUGGGUUUGUGCAUACAAGCAGCAAUGCUAAGAAUUCAUACUUUAAGAGAGGAGAGAUUUAAAGGAAACUUCGUGACAACAGAGCUGAGCUGAAAGUGGAUGUGUUUACAUGGAGGGUAGAGGAAAAUGACAGAUAUUCAACUUCAGCCUGGGAAGAGAAUGUGAAUGAUUUUGUUCUCCUGAAGGAUCAUGAAAAAGAUUAAUCCACGGGGCUUCUCUAUGACUAUCCCAGCACCCCAAGUGAAGUGGCUGCUUACAGCCUCUGUGACUGAAAAAGUGCAACAGCUCGGCUUGCUCUGUGGUCCAUAGAGAAGGUGCAGCCUUUAAGAGAAGGUAAGUGUCAUGGACUCGGAUCAUUUGUGGACACAGGCAAGGCUGAGACCACUAAGCAUAAUGUAUUACAUAUUUUUUUAGCAUCAGAUUGCCCUGAGAGGAUUUGUUCUUUCUGAUUUCCAAGCACAAAAAAAGAUAUCUGUAUUACACAAAGUUCAGAAAAGAUAAGAGGAAAAAAAAAAAACAAAAAAACAAAAAAAAAACAAACACCAGAGUGUCUCCGGGCUUCUCUACUGUGCCAUUCUCCUGUUACUGGUCAUUUUCAUGACUGGCUUCUACUAUUAUCUGCUCGAAAACUAAUAUUAAAGACUAUAUAGCAGUCUACAGUAUAUAGUUUAUAACAGUGACAGCCAGCACCUGGAAAAAAUUAACUGCUAUCACCUGAAGGAAGCAUAAUACCAAGGUAAGAUUGUUUAUAUUUUCAGCGCUCUCCUCCUCCUGCUUUGUAUUCUCUUAAUCCGGGAUUAAAUACUAAUUGUGGCUAAGUACUUGAAAAGCUCAUCAAUUAAUGGGAUUUUUAGGAAGCCAACAUGUCGGAGGUUUGAACAGGAAGUUGUGGGGCGUGAUUCUUAAUAUCUUGUAUUUUGUAGACAUUUGUGCAGAGCAAGCACAAAUCAAAUAAAAGCAAGGUCUCUUCUGAAUGAAGUGGUAUAACUGUAAUUUUUGCAUAGAUAAUAGUAGCAAGUAGUUAUUCUGUACAGAAUGAGGUAUUUAUGACCGUGGCAUAAUGUUGCAGUGUAGAUGAAUACAGGCCUGGCGUGACAGUAGAGACCUUGCAAGUGAAGACAGAGGAUGCAGUGUAGAGGAGUACAGGCAUGGGGUGACAAGAGAAGGGGAGUGGAGGAUGUUAGUGGAGACUUCAGGGCUAUACAUAGCUCAGCAGCAAACAGUUAAAGAAACGCAGACCUGAGAGCUGAGCAAAACUGGCUUAGGAGUAGUAAAGAGAAUAAAUAACAAGUAUCCAAGAUACUUCAUGUACAAUAAAUUCAGACGUAAUGUGGAGUUACAGACCAAUGAAGAAGGGUAAGGUGUAAAGCAACAGACAGAAAAUGUAUAAGAAUAGCCCCAAGUGACCCUUAAAAAGAGAAGCAACAAAAGCAUCAGAUUCAGCAUCAUGGCCCUCCCUGCCAAGAGGAAGGAAAGACCUCUACCAUGAACAUCAUACUCCUCUCAGUGAAAAACCUGGAAAAUUGAGGACUCACCGUAACAACUUCCUCCUCCUAGUAAAGCCAACAGCCUCAAG